rnacentral:rRNA from 1 species
AGACCCGAAACCCGGUGAUCUAGCCAUGGGCAGGUUGAAGGUUGGGUAACACUAACUGGAGGACCGAACCGACUAAUGUUGAAAAAUUAGCGGAUGACCUGUGGCUGGGGGUGAAAGGCCAAUCAAACCGGGAGAUAGCUGGUUCUCCCCGAAAGCUAUUUAGGUAGCGCCUCGUGAAUUCAUCUCCGGGGGUAGAGCACUGUUUCGGCUAGGGGGCCAUCCCGGCUUACCAACCCGAUGCAAACUGCGAAUACCGGAGAAUGUUAUCACGGGAGACACACGGCGGGUGCUAACGUCCGUCGUGAAGAGGGAAACAACCCAGACCGCCAGCUAAGGUCCCAAAGUCAUGGUUAAGUGGGAAACGAUGUGGGAAGGCCCAGACAGCCAGGAUGUUGGCUUAGAAGCAGCCAUCAUUUAAAGAAAGCGUAAUAGCUCACUGGUCGAGUCGGCCUGCGCGGAAGAUGUAACGGGGCUAAACCAUGCACCGAAGCUGCGGCAGCGAACGUAUCACCCAAGACAACUUUACGGAGUUGACGAUUGACGGAGCGAAGCGACGUCAAAGCGUUCAUUAAAGUCGAGUUGGCUUAGGGAUACGUUCGUUGGGUAGGGGAGCGUUCUGUAAGCCUGUGAAGGUGUGUCGUGAGGCAUGCUGGAGGUAUCAGAAGUGCGAAUGCUGACAUAAGUAACGAUAAAGCGGGUGAAAAGCCCGCUCGCCGGAAGACCAAGGGUUCCUGUCCAACGUUAAUCGGGGCAGGGUGAGUCGACCCCUAAGGCGAGGCCG